UAUGUCUGGGAACUGCCUGAUGGAGGGGGAUAACUACUGGAAACGGUAGCUAAUACCGCAUAACGUCGCAAGACCAAAGAGGGGGACCUUCGGGCCUCUUGCCAUCGGAUGUGCCCAGAUGGGAUUAGCUAGUAGGUGGGGUAAMGGCUCACCUAGGCGACGAUCCCUAGCUGGUCUGAGAGGAUGACCAGCCACACUGGAACUGAGACACGGUCCAGACUCCUACGGGAGGCAGCAGUGGGGAAUAUUGCACAAUGGGCGCAAGCCUGAUGCAGCCAUGCCGCGUGUAUGAAGAAGGCCUUCGGGUUGUAAAGUACUUUCAGCGGGGAGGAAGGGAGUAAAGUUAAUACCUUUGCUCAUUGACGUUACCCGCAGAAGAAGCACCGGCUAACUCCGUGCCAGCAGCCGCGGUAAUACGGAGGGUGCAAGCGUUAAUCGGAAUUACUGGGCGUAAAGCGCACGCAGGCGGUUUGUUAAGUCAGAUGUGAAAUC
rnacentral:rRNA from 1 species